CGCCUAUACACAGCCUGAUAUGGGGUGUCACUAGUCAUAAGCAUCUAUAAGUCAUAAUACAAGUCUGUUAAAUCCGUAAUCUUGUAUAACUAUCGAAAACGAGAUAGAAAUGAUAAAGGAGGAGAAAUACGAGACUGCUGAUGCCAGGAAGCUACCUCAUGAACUCCAAAUGUUCACCUGAAGCUGGAAGGAUCAGCACUGGAGAGCGGAACCAGCCACGCCUGAAUCUGCACACAGGGUGCAAUGAGUAAAGUGAGUACUCCAACUCAGUGAGUAACAAAUAUAAAUAACGACUGAAAGUAAGAAAAUACGAAAUGUACAAAACAUUCUAUAGUGAAGCAGUAAAAUCAUUUCAAAGUAGUAAACUAGUGAAAAGAUAAGAAAAAUCCUUUGUCAAUAGAGAAGCAUGUAAUUGACAGGGAACUACGGAAAAAUAAACACAUAGAAGUUCACCCCUUGGACACAGUAUCAACAAAUCCGCCCCUCGGGCUCCAUAUCACAUCAUAAUGGGUACCCUCACUCACAGGGACUCUGCAGACUCCUGGAGGGGCCCCUUACGACCACGGCACAAUAUCAAGCCAUCUCGUGGAGUCAUAACUAGGCUUUCGACCUCUUAUUAAUCAAGCCACCUCAUGGCAUGCAUAUCUCAGGCCCUCGGCCUCAAAUCAAUAUCAGUAUUUCCUCACAACAUAGGCCCUCGGCCUUACUCAGUAAAAAAUUCUCAAAAGCCACUCGAGCAAUAGUAAAAUAGUGUUUCUCAGCCCAGACAUCAUUUAAAAUAUCAUUUAAGUAUUAAAACGAAUAAGCAUGGCUGAGUAUGAAAAUAGUGGAAAAUAACAUGACUGAGUUCAAAUAUACAGUCAAAACAGUGAGGAAAUAUCAAUAAAAAUCCCCGAAGGGUUAGAAAAAAUUGUUGGCACGAAGCCCAAAAUAUGGCGUUUAGCCCAAAUAAUGAUGAUCGCAAAUAGAUUUCAGUCAAAUAAGCGGUAAAAUCAUAAAUCAGGACGGACCAAGUCACAAUCCCCAAUUAUGUAUGACUCCACGCUCGUCAUCAAGCGUGUGUCUCACCUCAAUAUUGCACUACGAUGUGCAAUCCGGGGUUUCAAACCCUCAAAACAUUAUUUAUAAUCAUAUCACCUGGAAUAAGUCAAACAUAUCGCUCACGACGCCUUUGCACCUCGAAUUGGCCUCCACUUGCAAUGAAUCUAACCAAAAUCAAAACAAGGACGUCAAAAUAGGAUAAGGGAACAAAGCCUAAGCAAAAACAAUCGAUAAUUGACACAAAUCCCAAAAUUACCAAAACCCGACCCCUGAGCCCACGAGUUCAUACAUAUCAAAAGCUCAGAAAUCCGACCUCAAAUGAUCCAUCAAACCCUCAAUCCAAAGUCUAAAUUUCCAAGCCCUAGUUCUUCCCUUUGGCUUAAUUUCCAUGAUUAAUUUGGUGGAAUUCACAUGAUAAUCGACUUUUUAGUCCAAGAAUCUUACCUCAAAGUGAUUCCCCUUGGAUCCCUCUUCAAUUUCCUUCAAAAAGCUCCAAAAAUGACCAACAAUAGAAGAAAUAAACCCCACAUUCGUGGACAAAACGACCCUUAAAACAUUCUGCCCAGGCCUCAAUUCCUUCUUCGCGAACGCGGUCAAAGCCAUGCGUUCGCGAAGCACAAAAAUUUUGCUGACAAAAACUCUUCUUCGUGAACCCGACCCUACCAUCAUGAACGUGAUACCUCAGCCUCACAACCCUACGCGAAUGCGACCAAGCCUCUCGUGAGUAUGAUGCUUACUAAGUCGUCCCUUUACGAAUGCGUGACUCCCCUUCACGAACGCAAAGGCCAAAUUUCUUUUAAAUUCCCCUAUCUUUCUGCGAACACGAGGGUCCACCCGCGAACGCGAAGAGUAUAAACCUGCAAAAGUUGAACCUGCAAUUUCUGCAAUUCCAAAUUUCAUGAAAUGGGCUGAUUGACCAACCGAAACUCACCCAAGGCCCCUGGGACCUCAACCAAAGGCAUCAAAAUCUCACCUACCAACCGAGAAUCGCCAAAAUUUUGACUAUACCAAUUUAAGCCUAAAUCUACUUUGAACCUCCAAAACUCAUUCCGAUCCCACUCCUAAGUCUCAAAUAACCUACCAAAUCUAAACAAACCAUCAGAACUCACAUCCGUGCCUUCUAACACAUAAGUCAAUAUCCGUGACUUUUUUAACUUAAGCUUCCUCAAAAGAGACUAAGUGUCUCAAACCUUACCAAAAAUCAUUUGGGAUUUGAUCUGACCAACCCGAUACCACAAAACACGGAUAAACAAGAGUAACGAAGAAGAAAUAGGAGAAACAGAGCGGUAACUCAUGAGACGACUGGCCGGGUCGUCAUAAUUAGUUCUCAGGAAUUCCUUUAAGCAUUUUUGAGCUAAAACGAAGUAAAAGAGGGAAAAUAAGCGGUCAAAAUCCCUACUUAUCAACUCCCCAAAACUUAAGUAUGUGCUUGUCCUCAAGCAAUUAAGGCAAUUCCCACCUCUACUAGAAAAAAGGAUAUUUCAGUUGACCUAAGGUGAACUAAUCACACAUCAAUUGAAACCAACAAUUGCCCACAACAUGUAUGAAUUAUCAAAUUCAAUUAUUUGAAUUUUUCAGUACAAUAGUUCUAAUGUGACACUGGAGCAUCAAAAUUUGACUUUAUUUAUCAAGGAAGCUCGCUCUUUCAUGUGGAUAAUUGUGGAUCCCAAACUCCUCCUCCUUUACUCUUCAUUAGAAAAUCUCACUUUAGAAUGUAACACUCGAAGUAAGGAUUAUGAAAAGUUAUCUCAUCUCUCUCAAAAGAAUGUCACAAGUCCGAUUCUAAAUACCAUAAGCUUGCCCCUUAUGUAAAUCACCACUAAUGCAAGAUCACUCAACUUGAAAUCAUGUAGGACUUUUUGGGGAUGUAAUGAAGGCUUUUUGGAUCAAGGUAGGUCUUAAUAAAAUUUAAUGGGUUCAUCUUUCCUCAAACACUCCAUGUUCUCAUUUUCGCUCAUACUUUGUCGACUCUUUGAGUCAAUUUCUUUUUUCUCGGGGGAACUAGAGAGACGUAAGGUCUCUCUUUCGCAUGACAUUCAUUUUUCUGCUUUUCUAUUUACUCCAUGACUUUCAUCAUUUGUUUCUUUGAAUUCCUUGAAUUUUCUACCUUAUUCGCUUUCUUUUUGGCAUUUUUCUUUUUAUUCUUUCUUUCUUUUGUUUUCCUUCCCUUUCCAUUUCUUUCUCUUCUUUGUACCUUUUAUCACGUUAAAACUCCCAGUCUUUCCUCAAAACUUUUAUUUUUUCCAAUUGUUUAUCAAGAAUGCUAAGGAAAGAUUCGGUGCCAAGAGAGGGUCAUUACAAAAUGGAUGAAGGCGUGUAGCGUAGUUCUUGAAAGAAAAAGGGCUUACUCUCAAAUGGGUUGACUAGGGAUAUCAUAUUGGUAGGCUAUAGAAGAUUUCAAACUUCAAAUUGGAUCAAGGAGAGUCUACAUUCAUUUCUCAAGCCAAGCUACACUUAAAAUAUUUCCUAGAAAAACACUCGGGGCAACUUCUAGACUGUUAGCACAAGUACUUGGACUUGCCAUUCAAUACCUCAUCUCUCACUGUUGAUAAGCAAUUUUUUUUCAUAUUUUUAAUUUGCAUAUAUACUUUCAAAAUACUAUGUUUAUAUCAUCAUUUAGUUAAUAAACCUAUACAAUCAUUUUACAAAAAAUUUCAUGAUUUUUGGAAGCCCUAAAUUAAUUUCUCUGCACUUUUAUUGUAUAAAUAUUUAAUAAUUAGCCUUCAAAAUAUUUUUAUGAUGUUUUAAUCAUCCAAACUUAUUAUUUAUACCAACAUACAUGUUUUUAAAUAUUUGACUUUAUUUUUUCAUAAUUACAUUUAGAUUUUUAGGCUAAUUGUAUAUUUUUACAAUAAUAGCCUAUAUUCAUGUAUAAUUACAUUAUUUAUGCCAGAAUAACUUUUAUGUUUUUAUGAUGUCAAGUUAUUAUAUUGAAUUAAUUUAGUGCACAAAUAAUAUUUUUGUUAUUUAUUAAUUACUUUUAUAUAUUAUUUAUUGAUAAAUUAUUGGAUAUUUACUAACAAGCCCCAAUUCCUAAACAAUUCGGACCGAUAAACUAGCCCAAUAACCCCAUCCCAACCCAAUAACCCCCAUUAACCCAAAACCAGGUCGCAACCCAUUUAAAUUAACCCAACCCAACCCCUUUUUAAUUGUGGCCAUUGAUCUCUGAGAUCAAUGAUUUCCUCCCUUUAACUAACAAAACCCCUAACCUUAACCUCAUUUCCCCUUUUUCCCCUGCCUAUGUAUCCUCUCAUCUCCCUUCCCCCUCCUUCUCUGAAGAACCCUAAAAUUGCCUCCUCCCAAAUUCUUCUCGUAAUCCAACCAAAUAUGGGAUUUGAUCUUAAUUUAUUACCAUACUCGACCCAUUUUUGGUACUGGCUAUUAUACUAAAUUGAUUGCCUAAACAUGACAAGAAAAUCUCUUCAAAAUCUAACCAAAAUUGGUUCAAAUCUCUUAUAUUCGAUAUUAUUCUGUCAAUAUUCGUAUUAUUCUACUAUGAGUCUGAUUUUGUUUAUAUUCUGUUGAUAUUUACUUUCCCUAAAAAACUAGGAUUUAUAGAUAUUUUAAAUUGAUUUUUUAGAUCUAUUUGUAUAUUAUUUUCCUUGUUUGUGGCUUAAAUCACUCUGUUACCGUUUGAUUCUUACUAUUAUGCAAACCCCUCCCCCAUUCUUUUCUAGAAAAGACUUUAAUCGCUAAUUUCCAUUAAAAAUACUAAGUCAUUUACUCUGUGUUUGCUUAUUCUCUUGUUCUAUUUCUGUUCUUGGCUGGCUGAAAGUGAAGGCCACAAAAUUUUCUACUUUCUGGCCUUCUUUGGGAGUAAGGAAUGCCUUUGGUUCAUUGAAACCCUUGGAAACUUGGUGCAUCUGGGAUUCUGGGUCAUAUUGCUAUUCUUUUUCUUAUUUGUUGAUCAAUAACUGGUUUGUUCUCAACCUUUGCAAUGUUUAUUCCAUUAUGUGCUAAUUAGUAUAUCUAUGAUCUCUAAAAUUGCAUAUAAUUCCUUGACUUUCUUCAUGUGUAACUCUGCCUAUAGCAUGAGCUUCUCCAGCAUUGAUUCAUGCCUAAACUGUUGUUCCUAAAAGUGUGUUUGUAUCAAACUUAAGCAAUUUGGACAAUUCGAAGCAUGUAUAGCUUAAUAUCAUUGAUAAUUUGAGUGCUUUGCCUUGAUUAUAUACCCUAAUCCAUAUUCCCUGCUUAAUUCUGAAUUUCUAGUGACUAAUUGAUGUUAUUAGUAUGCUUGUUAAAACCUUCACCCUAAGUCUGUAGUGUUCUCCUAUGAUUAUGUUUUGUCACUCAUUGUGUUCUUGCCUUACCCAGUUUUGUACCCAGCAAUUAAGUAGAGCCUUUCAAACUAGUUUUGCCUAAAUUAUGAUUCUGCUUUCAUCAUUAGUAUAAGUUAUACUGUUUGAUCCCUGAGUUUAGCAUAGUGUGAUCCAUUAGGUUUUAAACUUGUUACAUUGGUGACAAGUGUUCGUCUUACUAGCUUAAUGCUCCUUGCCUAUUAACUUGGUAAUGCUAUAAGCUUCAGGCUCCUUGUUUCUUAUCAAUACGUCGCCUGCCCCAAAGUGUUAAGUGAGAAUUUGCAGUAUCAAUUUGUUUUCAUGAAUUCAUGCACCCCUUGUGUUCGCAUGUUCAUUAUGUAAUCAUUUUGUAGUGUUUGCAAAUGAUUUUCCAAAACCUUAUUACUUUACUACUAUUUUCAUUGGUUGGUUCUUAUUCUGAGUCUCUAAUUCUUGGUCGGCUGAAAGAUAACUUCUCUAGUAACCUCUCUAGUAUAAGCACUGCUCAAGGUCCACUUUGAGACCCUCGUAAACUUUCACACAAUAAGAACUAGGGUUUUAGCCACUUUUCUCCUUGACUAUUCAAUUCUGUCCCUCUCUAUGCCUACAAAAUAAGCCAAUUGGCUAGCGUAAAUGGUUGUUUUCUAGACCAACUAUGGAUACAAGGUUUGGUUCUAGUUCUCUUGUGGUUUCUUGCCUGUGGUGAAACCUAUAUGGAUACGAAAUUGAAGGCAUGUCUAGGCUGGGAAUACAUUGGGCCAGUCUUAGACCUACUAUAGUUAUUUAUAUUACCUUAUAAUUUAUUUUAUUAUUGGGCCUGUAAUAAUUCUGUGGCAGAAAUUGGGGUAUUAGUAAAAAUUGGGAAAGUGGGUCAAAUGAUUGCAUGAAAGGGUAGAAAUCCUGUCUAUAGGAUUUGAGUGUUUAAUUUGUUCAACAUAUUUUGCGUCUAUGUGUUUUGUUGGAUGACAUGUUUAUAGGACAUAAAUAACCUCACAUGUGCACAUGUUCCACUCUCGCGUUAUUUUCUGCCUGCUAUAUUGCAAUACAAUUUGUUCAAAUUGCUCCAUGUUAGAUAUCAUGCCUAUAGGAUUAUAUUGAGUAACAAAUACCUGCUCUUUACGAUAUUCGCAUAAAUAUUAAAAAUUUCGCUACAAGAUCACUGGAUAUAUUAUGUAUUUUGCCAUAUACAGACCUUAAAAAAAUUAUUAUCAUCCGCUAAAAGAUGAGACCAAAAAGAUGACUAAGCUAUUCAUACUAUUAAAGGAUUGAGGUGGAUGUACUGAUUCAACUAAAUUUAUAAUCUUUUACGCAGAGUAAAUAUUUAUAUAUAAAAAUACACUAAAAUUAUAAUAAUUAUAGUUAUGAAUCUAUAACUUUUAAAAUAUAAUGAGUUCAAUAUUAAAUAUAUUAAAAGUUGAACUCAUAAGUUUUAAAUCGUGGAUCCGCCUGUAAGCACAAACUUAAUCUAUACCAGGAUCUUGAACAUGAUAAUCUUACACAAAAUCGUUAUAGAAAACAUACCUGAAUCAUAAGUCAUCAUUGUGAAACGAAAGCGUCAAUUAAAAUUGGUUUCUCGCCCCUUGUUCUAGUUUUCGUUAUCGCCGACUUUAACGAUGGAAAA
rnacentral:lncRNA from 1 species